CCCCUCUCAGGGUUGCACCUGGAGAGUUUCCAGUACUCUACCACUCUCGGCUACCAGAGGGAGAGUCAAGCAGAGCCUACCCAUUCCAUUCCUAUAUUGGGCAGUGGCUAGCGAGUGGAAGGCAAUCUGAUACAAGU